ACGUAGGGUGCAAGCGUUAAUCGGAAUUACUGGGCGUAAAGCGUGCGCAGGCGGUUUUUUAAGUCAGAUGUGAAAUCCCUGGGCUCAACCUGGGAAUGGCAUUUGAGACUGCAAGGCUAGAGUGUGGCAGAGGGGACUAGAAUUCCUGGUGUAGCAGUGAAAUGCGUAGAGAUCAGGAGGAAUACCGGUGGCGAAGGCAGGUCCCUGGGUUAACACUGACGCUGAUGCACGAAAGCGUGGGGAGCAAACAG
rnacentral:rRNA from 1 species